rnacentral:rRNA from 1 species
GAUGAACGCUGGCGGCGUGCUUAACACAUGCAAGUCGAACGGAAAGGCCGAAGCUUGCUUCGGUGCUCGAGCGGCGAACGGGUGAGUAACACGUGGGUGAUCUGCCCUGCACUUUGGGAUAAGCCUGGGAAACUGGGUCUAAUACCAGAUAGGACCAUGUCUUGGAUGGCGUGGUGGAAAGUUUUUUCGGUGUGGGAUGAGCUCGCGGCCUAUCAGCUUGUUGGUGGGGUAAUGGCCUACCAAGGCGUCGACGGGUAGCCGGCCUGAGAGGGUGCACGGCCACAUUGGGACUGAGAUACGGCCCAGACUCCUACGGGAGGCAGCAGUGGGGAAUAUUGCACAAUGGGCGCAAGCCUGAUGCAGCGACGCCGCGUGGGGGAUGACGGCCUUCGGGUUGUAAACCGCUUUCGCCUGUGACGAAGCGUGAGUGACGGUAAUGGGUAAAGAAGCACCGGCUAACUACGUGCCAGCAGCCGCGGUAA